rnacentral:rRNA from 1 species
CCUACGGGUGGCUGCAGUGAGGAAUAUUGGUCAAUGGGCGCGAGCCUGAACCAGCCAAGUCGCGUGAGGGAGGACGGCCCUACGGGUUGUAAACCUCUUUUGCCGGGGAGCAACGGGCGCCACGUGUGGCGUCACUGAGAGUACCCGGAGAAAAAGCAUCGGCUAACUCCGUGCCAGCAGCCGCGGUAAUACGGAGGAUGCGAGCGUUAUCCGGAUUUAUUGGGUUUAAAGGGAGCGUAGGUGGAUUGUUAAGUCAGUUGUGAAAGUUUGCGGCUCAACCGUAAAAUUGCAGUUGAAACUGGCAGUCUUGAGUACAGUAGAGGUGGGCGGAAUUCGUGGUGUAGCGGUGAAAUGCUUAGAUAUCACGAAGAACUCCGAUUGCGAAGGCAGUUCACUGGACUGCAACUGACACUGAGGCUCGAAAGUGUGGGUAUCAAACAGGAUUAGAUACCCGAGUAGUC